AACGAACGUUAGCGGCGCGCCUAACACAUGCAAGUCGAACGCGACAGGGGCAACUCUGUUGAGUGGCGCACGGGUGAGUAACACGUAGGUAAUCUCCCCCCGAGUGGUGGAUAACCUUCCGAAAGGAGGGCUAAUACAGCAUAAGACCACGGCUUCGAAAGGAGCUGAGGUCAAAGCGGAGGAUCGCAAGACUUCGCGCUUGGGGAUGAGCCUGCGGCCCAUCAGGUAGUUGGCGGGGUAACAGCCCACCAAGCCUAAGACGGGUAGCUGGUCUGAGAGGAUGAUCAGCCACACUGGAACUGAGACACGGUCCAGACUCCUACGGGAGGCAGCAGUGGGGAAUCUUGCGCAAUGGACGAAAGUCUGACGCAGCGACGCCGCGUGGGUGAUGAAGGCCUUCGGGUUGUAAAGCCCUGUGGGGAGGGACGAAUAAGUUUCAGCUAAUACCUGAAGCGAUGACGGUACCUCCUUAGCAAGCACCGGCUAACUCUGUGCCAGCCGCCGCCGUAA
rnacentral:rRNA from 1 species